AGCCAAAAUAAAAUCUGAGUACUUCCAGAAGCAUAAAGGAUGAGAACCUGAGAACUGACACACUAUUCCAGUUUUCUGAGCCCUAGCUGAUUGGCUGCUUCUUGCCUAUGACCUCAAGAUGUGAAACCAAUUAGGUCUAAUUCUUUCUAUAAAAACAGCUGAAUUGUUCUGGUCCAGCAGUUGCCUUGAGACAUUAAAAAUGACUCCGAUUUGUUUCCUUCACUCAACAUUUCCUUCAUUUUAAGAAAGAAUAGAGAAGCAGGCAGGUGGAGAGUGGAUAGAAUAUUAGACCUGGAGUCAGAAGAUUUGAGUUCUGAUCCUACUUCAAGUAUUUCUUGGUUGUGUGAACCUGGAGUUGAACAUUUUACAGAUGGCACAUGAGACA
rnacentral:lncRNA from 1 species